CACCUACCCACCCGCUUCCUCUUCAUACUCUCCAGCCUCUAUCCAAGCUUUCCCAUAAUUCCCCCAAUUCCCCAUCAUACGGUCAAAACCCUAAUCUCUAAUUUCUGCAAUUUCCAGUUUUAACCACGCAUGAUGCACCCCGGGCUUCUCUGAGAGUACUUUCACUGAAGAAGAAAGCCCCAAUGCUCGUGCUAAAACGUCGCCGUCAAGUGUUGCAGUUUAGCCUCGCUUUACUCCACGGCUUUUCUGUGUCAAAUCGACCGCUACAUCUCUCACAAAAACCCUAAAUCUUUUCGUCAGCUUUCAGUAGCGGACGAUCCGAAGCGCCUCGACACACCUUAAGCCUGUUUUUGAAAAAUCUCCGAAAACAGAGCUAGUCAUGGAGGCGCAGAUCCAACUGCGGUGUCAAACGUUUCGUUGAUUAAUGUUGGCGGUGAUGACUAAAUUUUACAGCUUUAUGCCAGUUCUGCUUCAGAAAAUUCGUGAUUGAGAGAGCUGUUUCAUACUCUGAGCCUUCUGUUUCUUAAUUUGAUUUUAUUUUUCUGUAUUAUUUUGGAUUUCUGUGUUCUUUGUGUUGCCGAUGACGAUUCAAUCCGCUUGUUCGAGGUGCAGUGGAAUUGAGACCCUGUUUUCAGGGAGAACCCCUCAGUGAAACUGCAUUCAUAUGAAUUUAAUGGAUUUAACUGAGGUUUUAAUCUUACUUACCCUCCUAGUAAAAUGUUUUUGUGUUACUUGUUUGGUUUGUUGUCUGUCAAAGAUUAGAUUAGUUGUUUGGUAUGUUAUUAAUUGAAUGUGAUCGGUGUGUUAAAUUUUGGUGAUAUCUUCUUGUCAUUUGGCCUGUGAUGAUUCAAUCCGCUUUUUUGAGGUGUAGUGGAGCUGAGACCUUGUUUACAAGGAGAACCCCUCGGCGAAGCUACAUUGCAUAUGACAUUAAUGGAUUUAACUGAGGUUUAAGUCUUAAUUACUGCAUCAAAAACCAUUGUUUUUGUGUUAAUUGCUUGUUUUGCUGAGCAAUGUUUAUUAUUUUGUUAGGAUUAAGUAAUGUUUAGGCGCCAAUGAUGUUACAAUCCAACGUGUUUGAGGCGUAGCGGAAGCGAGAACCUGCAUUUGUGCAGGUAGAGCCUACUCGUGGAAACUACGAUCCCUUGACAGAAACGAUGUAGCUGAGGCAUUGCAGUCAUAUGGUUUUGUUGUGUAUCGUGUUGAAAUGUUGGUUUUGAGUUUCAACUAUACCCUUAUCCUUUUUCGAUCAGGUUUAGGGUCUGAAAUAACUCAUAAAUUAGAGUGUUGUCAUCAGCUUCAUCUUGUGUUACUGGUCAAGACUGGAGUUAAACAACAACACUACAUCUAAUCGCACUAAUUUUGUUUCUUUUAUUUUGUGAUUCGUGUUAAAUUUCAUCUAAAUUUCGGUUGGCAUCGACUCUGGUGAUGAAUUGAUACGUAUGCAGUAUGCUCAAUAGCUUCGGCUGGAUGGUUCUAUUAAUUGAAUUGGGGCUAAGUAAUUUAUACAGUGAUAAUAAUUUCUAAAACCUACGGGCCUCAGCCUGUUUCCAUUAGAGCAACUCCACCUUUGAAAAAAAAUGCAUCAGCAACUAGUCUAUUUAGUUCACUUUAAAGAACAUUGAUAGAUUUUAAUGAACAGUAAUAGAUUAAAUGCAUCUUUAUUUCUAAAACUAAAUACCCUGUUAAUUUAUUAAAAUAUUAUUAAUUUUUAUUAUAAAAUAAUAAAAUUUAAUAAUUUAAUUAAUAAUUUCUGACUUUAUAGUUUUGAACUCCUAAAAAUGCUCCUCCAAUGAAGCAGACCAGAGCAUGCCAACCCACCAACCAUGCCGUCAAUCCCCACUCUUUCUACGACGAAACGACCCUUCUCCUCCCUUACCACCACCACCUUCAUUAUCAUCACCGCCACCAUCCUCUUCACCAUUAUGCCACCACCAGCUCAUGCCUUUGGUUCCGAUUCCACCCUUGCUGUUAUCUCUGCCUUCGGAUUGGAAAUUCUAGCAGGUUGGAAGAUCAGUCAGAGGUGGUGGCAAAGACUGCGGCAACCCAUCAUCUCCUAUCGUCGCAGACAAACAGUCGCAGUCGAGCCCAACAUCUCCUUCUUCACCAUCUUCGGUGGACGGACCUUUUCUGGGAUCUGGCGCGAAAAAAGAUUUCAGAUUAUGACGUCAUCCUGACGUCAUGUAGGCUGGUCUCUAGCUCAGCACAUUUUGGGUUGGCCAAUGAACUGGAGCAAAUUGGCUGGAUGCCGGUCUAAUGGGCUGGGCUGGAGCAAAUUGGCUGGAUGCCGGUCUAAUGGGCUGGGUUGGAGCUGCGAGCCUAAUGGCUCCUGGUGGACUUGCUUUUAGGGAGUACCCUAAGAAAAGCAACCCUUCCUUCCACACAAGAGGAUGAUUGGUGGAGAAAUGGCGUGCGGACAUCGUUACCAAAUUCAUGUGUGGAUGGGUUUAUGUUGUAAAAUCUUUUGAUUGGAAUUCAGACCAAAAACAGACUUGUAAAUGUAAAUGAAUGCUAUUGUAAGCUUUGUGGUAAAUGGGAAUUUGAAAAUUAGCAACGUAUCUUUGUUUUUGUA